rnacentral:rRNA from 1 species
AGUGGCGGACGGGUGAGUAACGCGUGGGUAACCUGCCUCAUACAGGGGGAUAACAGUUAGAAAUGACUGCUAAUACCGCAUAAGACCACGGAGCCGCAUGGCUCAGUGGGAAAAACUCCGGUGGUAUGAGAUGGACCCGCGUCUGAUUAGGUAGUUGGUGGGGUAACGGCCUACCAAGCCGACGAUCAGUAGCCGACCUGAGAGGGUGACCGGCCACAUUGGGACUGAGACACGGUCCAA